rnacentral:rRNA from 1 species
GGGUCAGUAGGUUGGUCGUGCCACCGGUACGUACUGGUCUCACUGAUUCCUCCUUCCUGAAGAACCGUAAUGCCAUUAAUUUGGUGUUGCGGGGAAACAGGACUGUUACUUUGAAUAAAUUAGAGUGUUUAAAGCAAGCUAACGCUUGAAUACAUUAGCAUGGAAUAAUGAAAUAGGACGAUCGAUCCUAUUUUGUUGGUUUCUAGGAUUGACAUA